GAUGAACGCUGGCGGCGUGCCUAAUACAUGCAAGUCGAGCGAACAGACGAGGAGCUUGCUCCUCUGACGUUAGCGGCGGACGGGUGAGUAACACGUGGAUAACCUACCUAUAAGACUGGGAUAACUUCGGGAAACCGGAGCUAAUACCGGAUAAUAUAUUGAACCGCAUGGUUCAAUAGUGAAAGACGGUUUUGCUGUCACUUAUAGAUGGAUCCGCGCCGCAUUAGCUAGUUGGUAAGGUAACGGCUUACCAAGGCAACGAUGCGUAGCCGACCUGAGAGGGUGAUCGGCCACACUGGAACUGAGACACGGCCCAGACUCCUACGGGAGGCAGCAGUAGGGAAUCUUCCGCAAUGGGCGAAAGCUUGACGGAGCAACGCCGCGUGAGUGAAGAAGGUCUUCGGAUCGUAAAACUCUGUUAUUAGGGAAGAACAAAUGUGUAAGUAACUAUGCACGUCUUGACGGUACCUAAUCAGAAAGCCACGGCUAACUACGUG
rnacentral:rRNA from 1 species